UGAGCAUGUACCACAGCCAGAUCAGGGGCAA
rnacentral:piRNA from 1 species